UUUUGCAGAAAAGUGUUUCCCUUAGAUAUGUGAUAUAAUUGUAGACCAAAUCCCAGAAGUAAAAUUGAGUAAAAGGAUACGUGCAUUUGUCAUUUGGUACCAUGUGCCCCUCCUCAGGAUAUUAACAAAACUGUGGACACUUGCACACUGUUAGUCCUACUGCCUAUGAGUUUUCUGAAUAAGCCUAAUUUUCUCUCACCCCACGUGACAUGAGUGUGAAUGUGUGUCAGUUACCUUUGCAUAGAUGGUACCAAAUGACAAAUGCAUGAAUUAUCAAAGAUUAAAAAAUACAAUAAUGUCUUUGUGGCAGGGUUAUGGAGAAAUAGGCACUAUCACUCAUUGGUGGUGUGAGAGUAAAUUAUUUUUGUGUCUGUGGAAGUCGGUUAGACUAUGUCUAGCUGAGGAGAGAGGAUUCUUCUGACUCCUGGGUAUCCCUCACAGCUCUGUCUCACCUGGCUUUUUAUCUUCCCCCCUAAUAGUUCCAAAGAUCAGGUUCACCAGGCUGGAGUUAGAUCGUUGGGUUAACACAAGACCUCUUGUUAAUAUCAGGAGCAUUAGUCUGCAAAGGCUGCAACUGAGCUCUGGUCCCACAAGAACAUUUCCCACUCCAGGAAUCA
rnacentral:lncRNA from 10 species